UACGUAGGGUGCGAGCGUUAAUCGGAAUUACUGGGCGUAAAGCGUGCGCAGGCGGUUUUGUAAGCCAGAUGUGAAAUCCCCGGGCUUAACCUGGGAAUGGCAUUUGGGACUGCAAGGCUUGAGUGCGGCAGAGGAGACUGGAAUUCCUGGUGUAGCAGUGAAAUGCGUAGAUAUCAAGAGGAACACCUGAGGUGAAGACGGGUUGCUGGGCUGACACUGACGCUGAGGCGCGAAAGCUAGGGGAGCAAACGGG
rnacentral:rRNA from 1 species